rnacentral:rRNA from 1 species
UGAGGAAUAUUGGGCAAUGCCCGCAAGGGUGACCCAGCAACGCCGCGUGGAGGAUGAAUGUCGUAAGAUUGUAAACUCCUGUUAGAGGGGAAGAAUAACUAAGUUUGGAGCUUAGUAUGACUGUACCCUCAGAGAAAGCCCCGGCUAACUACGUGCCAGCAGCCGCGGUAAUACGUAGGCGGCAAGCGUUGUCCGGAUUUACUGGGUGUAAAGGGCGCACAGGCGGAAUGGAAAGUCAGUGGUGAAAUCCUACAGCUUAACUGUAGAACUGCCUUUGAUACUUUCAUUCUUGAGUUCGGGAGAGAGGGACGGAAUUCCAGGUGUAGUGGUGAAAUACGUAGAUAUCUGGAAGAACACCAGUUGCGAAGGCGGUCUCUUGGUCCGAUACUGACGCUGAGGCGCGAAAGCGUGGGGAGCAAACA